rnacentral:lncRNA from 1 species
GAAACCCACGGAUAUGGAGCCCAGCUGCCAGCAGGCAGAGUUCAGAGUGGUGGGAAUCCCUCACCAGCUGGCAGCAGCCACGCCCCAGGUGCUGGGCUCUGCCUACCCCUCCCACAGUCUGCGGCCUUCAACACCACCCACAGGCAGCGUCGGGCUGGAGGAGGGAAGGUGGAGGGAUGGGGUCAGUGUGAGGACUAGAUGGCCAGGGCGGGACAGUCCUGCCUGGGAAGCAGGACAGAGGCCUCCAUGAGUGACAGCUGAUUUGCCCCAGAUGAAGUGUGUCACUGGGUCCAAGGCUCACACUUCCUCCUUUCCGGCUUUGUUUGAUCCUAGCUCUCAGGGGAAGCAACCUCAGCUCCUGGGGGAGGAGGGGCGUGGCUUACUUGGGAGGGGCAUCAGCCGGCCUCCUCUGCUUGCUCUGCCCUUUGGGCACCGACUGGGAGGCCACGUCGGCAUUGCCCUCUCAGCACCCCCACACCCUCCUCCGUCUGAGGCCGGGGCUGAUCAGAAACAGCAGAGAACAGUUCACCAAGCACUACAACAAAAAUUUGCCACAGGGACGGGCUCCCCAGAGACCAAAUUGACUACGGAACUCCUGGUUGAAGGAUCCUGGGAAAUAGCAAGCAGGUGGCAAUCAUGGAUGCAGGACCUAGCAGACCCAGAUCUCAUGUCUGUAAGAGUGCCAAAGGGGCCAUGCACAAAACUCAAGUCCAAAUGGAUCAAAGACCUCAAUAUAAAUCCAUCCACACUGAACCUCAUAGAAGAGACAGUGGGAAGUACACUUGAAUGCGGAGGCCCAGGAGACCACUUCCUAAAUAGAACACCAGUAGCACAGACACUGAGAGCAACAAUUGAUAAAUGGGACCUCCUGGAACUACGGCGCUUCUGUAAAGCAAAGGACACGGUCACCAAGACAAAACGGCGUCCCACAGAAUGGGAAAAGAUCUUCCCCAAUCCCAAAUCUGAAAGAGGGCUGAUCUCCAAAAUAUACCAAGAACUUAAGAAACUAGACAUCAGGGGCUGGAGAGAUGGCUCAGUGGUUAAGAGCACUGACUGUUCUUCCAGAGGUGCUGAGUGCAAUUCCCAGCAACCACAUGGUGGCUCACAACUAUCGGUAAUGAGAUCUGGCCCCCCCUUUUAAAUAAAUAAAUAAAUCUAAAAAAAAAAAGAACUGGAAGGAUUAAAAAAAGAAAAGGAAAAAAAAAAAAAACUGGUAAGUAAUAAAAAAGAAAAAAAAAAGAAACUAGACAUCAGGGGCUGGAGAGAUGGCUCAGUGGUUAAGAGCACUGACUGUUCUUCCAGAGGUGCUGAGUGCAAUUCCCAGCAACCACAUGGUGGCUCACAACUAUCGGUAAUGAGAUCUGGCCCCCCCUUUUAAAUAAAUAAAUAAAUCUAAAAAAAAAAAGAACUGGAAGGAUUAAAAAAAGAAAAGGAAAAAAAAAAAAAACUGGUAAGUAAUAAAAAAGAAAAAAAAAAAAAAAGGAGAAAGGGGUACACUCCUCCAUUGCUGGUGGGAGUGCAAACUUGCACAGCCUCUGUAGAAAGCAGUAUGGUGAUUUCUCAGAAAAUUAGGGAUCAACCUGCCUCAAGAUCCUGCAAAACCACUGUUGGGCACAUACCCAAAGGAGGAACAUUCAAGACAUAAGGACAUUUGCUCAACUAUGUUCAUAGCAACAUUAUUUGUAAUAGCCAGAUCUUGAAACCAACCUAGAUGGCGCUCAACUGAAGAAUGGAUAAAGAAAAUGUGGUAUAUUUACACAAUGGAAUACUACUCAGCAGUAAGAAACACUGACAUCCUAAAAUUCGCAGGCAAAAGGACAGAACUAGAAAAAACCAUCCAGAAAGACAAAUAUAGUAUGUUGUCACUCAUAAGUGGACACCAGACAUAAAUCAAAAUAUCCCUAGCCUAAAAUCUACAACCCUAUAGAAGCUAGAACCCUCUUCUAGAAACAGAUGGAAGCAGAUGCAGAAAUCCACAACUAACCAAUGGGCGAACCUCCUGGAGUACAAUUGAGGGAGAAGCAGUAAUAUGAACAAAGGAGUCAAGACCAUGAUGGGGAACCCACAGAAUCAGCUGACCUGAGCUAGAGAGAGAUUACUGACUCAGGUCUGACAAAUGGGGAACCUGCAUAAGACCGAACUAGACUCCCUUAAUAUAGGUGGCAAUGGUGUGACUGGGACAAUAUAUGAGGCCACUGGCAGUGGGUCCAAGAUCUAACUCUAAUGCACAAAC